rnacentral:rRNA from 1 species
GAUGAACGCUGGCGGCGUGCCUAAUACAUGCAAGUCGAGCGAACGGACGAGAAGCUUGCUUCUCUGAUGUUAGCGGCGGACGGGUGAGUAACACGUGGAUAACCUACCUAUAAGACUGGGAUAACUUCGGGAAACCGGAGCUAAUACCGGAUAAUAUUUUGAACCGCAUGGUUCAAAAGUGAAAGACGGUCUUGCUGUCACUUAUAGAUGGAUCCGCGCUGCAUUAGCUAGUUGGUAAGGUAACGGCUUACCAAGGCAACGAUGCAUAGCCGACCUGAGAGGGUGGUCAGGCACAAGGGGAAAGGAGCAGCGGUCAGACCUCCGCGGGAAGGAGCAAGAGGGAAUCCUUCAGAAAGGGGGAAAAGCCGGAGGGAGAAAGGAGGGGGGAGGGAAGAAGUUUUUAGAAUAUAAAAAACUUUUUAUGGGGAAAAAAAAGAUGUGAAAGAAAAGGGGAAAAUCUUGAAGGUACCAAACAAAAAAACCACGACAAACUACGGG